CUUUUCUAGAAUACUCCAUAUCCCAAUCAAUUAGGAUCUGUAAUUCCCCCUAAUAGAAACCUAACUCAACCCCUCCUGGAUGAAAUUUUGAGUACUUCAGUAAACUAGUAAUUUUCGCAUCAACACUUUCUUCUUCAUUCUCUUCUUCUUUUAGGUAAUAUUUGGUAGGAUGUAAUGGAAUUGAAGGUACUCAGAAAUGUAAUGGAAUGGAACAAGCUACUUCUUGAAUAAUUCUCAAUGAGAUACGUAGAUUGCAUUUUUUUUAAUUAAUAUUAUCCCCAACCAUCCUAUGUAGAUUGCAUUUUUUUUAUUAAUAUUAUCCCCAACCAUCCUAUGUAGAUUGCAUUUUUUUUAUUAAUAUUAUCCCCAACCAUCCUAUGUAGAUUGCAUUUUUUUU
rnacentral:misc_RNA from 1 species